UACCAGCACCCCGAGUGGUCGGUACGAUUAUUGGGCCUAAAGCAUCCGUAGCCGGCCUUACAAGUCCUCCGUUAAAUCCAGCUGCUUAACAGAUGGGCUGCGGAGGAUACUAUAAGACUAGGAGGCAGGAGAGGCAAGCGGUACUCAGUGGGUAGGGGUAAAAUCCGUUGAUCCAUUGAAGACCACCAGUGGCGAAGGCGGCUUGCCAGAAUGCGCUCGACGGUGAGGGAUGAAAGCUGGGGGAGCAAACCGG
rnacentral:rRNA from 1 species